AGGUUACUGCUAUCGGUGUUCGCCUAAGCCAUGCGGGUCAUAUGUUCUUCGUGAACAUGGCGUACUGCUCAGUAACACGUGGAUAACCUGCCCUUGGGUCCGGCAUAACCCCGGGAAACUGGGGAUAAUUCCGGAUAACGCACAUAUGCUGGAAUGCUUUAUGCGUCAAAUGGAUUCGUCCGCCCAAGGAUGGGUCUGCGGCCUAUCAGGUAGUAGUGGGUGUAAUGUACCUACUAGCCUACGACGGGUACGGGUUGUGAGAGCAAGAGCCCGGAGAUGGAUUCUGAGACAUGAAUCCAGGCCCUACGGGGCGCAGCAGGCGCGAAAACUUUACAAUGCGGGAAACCGUGAUAAGGGGACACCGAGUGCCAGCAUCAUAUGCUGGCUGUCCGGGUGUGUAAAAUACACCUGUUAGCAAGGGCCGGGCAAGACCGGUGCCAGCCGCCGCGGUAACACCGGCGGCCCGAGUGGUGAUCGUGAUUAUUGGGUCUAAAGGGUCCGUAGCCGGUUUGGUCAGUCCUCCGGGAAAUCUGACGGCUUAACCGUUAGGCUUUCGGGGGAUACUGCCAGACUUGGAACCGGGAGAGGUAAGAGGUACUACAGGGGUAGGAGUGAAAUCUUGUAAUCCCUGUGGGACCACCUGUGGCGAAGGCGUCUUACCAGAACGGGUUCGACGGUGAGGGACGAAAGCUGGGGGCACGAACCGGAUUAGAUACCCGGGUAGUCCCAGCCGUAAACGAUGCUCGCUAGGUGUCAGGCAUGGCGCGACCGUGUCUGGUGCCGCAGGGAAGCCGUGAAGCGAGCCACCUGGGAAGUACGGCCGCAAGGCUGAAACUUAA
rnacentral:rRNA from 1 species